CUCUUAGAGCGUGUCAGAAGCUUAAUCCCUAAUGGGGGUUAGGGCAGAACACUUUAAAAGGAUGCACACUCCUUAGACGAGAGUCUAAAAAACUUAAUUGGCGGCAUAGCUGAGUAGCAUUUUGCGAAAACUUAUGCCGCUU
rnacentral:ncRNA from 1 species